rnacentral:rRNA from 1 species
CGUGUAGGCGGUUUUUUAAGUCUGAUGUGAAAGCCCCGGGCUCAACCUGGGAAGUGCAUUGGAUACUGGAAGACUUGAGUACGGGAGAGGGCAGUGGAAUUCCUAGUGUAGGAGUGAAAUCCGUAGAUAUUAGGAGGAACACCGGUGGCGAAGGCGGCUGCCUGGACCGAUACUGACGCUGAGACGCGAAAGCGUGGGGAGCAAACA